GUCGCCUGGCGUGAACAGGAUGGAAACCCCUGGACCAGCCGAGUCACUGACGUCUCCAGGCUUUUUUUGGCUCUUGUUUCUCUUGUGGGCUCCGUAAACGCCUUUUUUCUUUUUCUUUCUCUUCAGCCAAUAGGGUAGCCGGAGGAAAUCCAGACGGCCGAGGCGCACAGGGAGCUGGCCGGGGGAUGCAGGAGCCGGCCUGCACAGGGCCGUGGGCCGGCGGGCAUGCCGCUGCAACCUGAACCGGUCAAGGCCGAGGCCGUGCGGGUGAGCGGGCGCCGAAGUGACGGCUCAGGCGGCGACUUGGCUCUCUGUGGAGAUGGAAGCAGAGAAAGGGCCACAGCGAGGCGACUUGCAGAGGGGCGGCUUGACACUGCGGCAGCACCGAGCGGAAGGCAGGCGGCCCAUGGCGACGGAGAUGGCAGCUCGUAGCAGGAGCAGCGAACGGCUUGAGGGCGGCUCAAAGCAGAGGUGAAGGCGCUGCGGAGACAAGCCCGGUGGUGACUUGAGGCAGACACGGCCGGAGCAGGAGGGCGUCGGGGCGGCUCGGAGGCUGGUUCGACGCGGGGCGGCGCUCCGGCGGUAACUUCAACACAGGGCGAUUCUCCAGCGGCAGGUCGACACGGCUGCUGUGAGGAAUCCUGUGGCGAGGUGGAUUACAGUGGCAAGAGCUGGUCGCGGUGGAGGCACGAGGACGGGCGAGACGCGCCGGUUCAGCUUCGGCCGCGGGUGCGAGGCGAGUCAACUUGCGGCGACUCCUGCGGGGCCGGCUUGAUAAGCCGUGACUGCCGCGAGCCCCUCGGCGACUCAAGGCGAGGGUGUAGGCCUUAACGGCGGCAGCUGCAGGUUCUCGAAGUGGCGAAGUUACGGGUGGCUACUCGAAGAGAAGGCCUCGACGGCAGCGGUUCGAGAUGAGGCUGCGGGUGUCAGCCGCAGUGGCGACGGCUUGUGGAGGCAGAGGCGAAGAACGGCAGCUCAGGGUCGUCCUGAAAGAGGCGACUCACAACCGAGAUGGUUAGGAGGCGGCGACUCGUAGCCAUUGUAAGCCGGCGGAGGAGGAAAUGCGGCAGAACCGGAGCAGGGUUGGGGGCGACUCAGUGCCACGCCGACGGGUCAAUAGAGCAGCUCCAAAGCGGGCGGCUCAUCCAUGGCGGAACGAGGCGGCUCGAGGAAACCCCCGGCCGGGCCGACCACAGUGGAGGUGGCUUCUCCUAACUGCUCAAUAGGGGCUCAAUGACAGAGGUAACCCGGAGCGGCGAUUUAGCAAUAGUACAAGCUGGAUCGGAGACUCCGGAUCAUGACAGAGGUGGAGUAGCGGCGGCUCAACAGGGGCGCCGGCGGGUUACGGUCUCAGCAGUUUCAAGCGAAGGGCGGCUCGGCAACGCGGAUGAAGCACCCGGCGAGGCAAAGGCAAACACCCUCAACAACAGCGCAGGGUCCCGGCGGCUUGUAGCAGUACUGGUUGCUCGGAGCAGGCUAAAACAAAGCCAAGGCGGAGCGAGGCCGGCUCAGGGUGGAGGUAUGGUGACUCGCAAGGAUAGCAGCUCAACGGGGGCGACUUGAUGAGGCCGCUCGGCGGCGUCCUCGGUAGUGGUGCAGAGUGGCAGUGAGCUUGAGAUCGCGGAGGCGAGGCCACUGCGGGUCAGACCCGGCCCAACAUCAGUGUCUUGAAGCGGACUAAGGCAUCUCAGAGGCGACACGGGCGAGGGAAGGGCCAGUUCGAGGUGCGCUCCGUUGAUCAUGGCAGUGGACUCGAUUCAGCGCUCACUCCUGACCAAGACUAGCAUACGCGGAGGUGGCUGAGCGUCGCGGUCGUAACCCAGGAGCGGCGGCGUCUCUGGCGGACGACAGCAGUGCUGCGUCCAUGGGCGGUGGUGGCCUCGGCGUGAUUCUAUCAAGCUGAUGUGUAGCUUGCUUCGGUUGUUUGGCUUCGGUUGAUGCCUUUAUGUGAUGACACGGAAAACACCCCAGUAGUAGUCAGGCAUGCACUGCUGCAA